GUUUAUGGCCAUACCACCCUGAUCACUCCUUAUGUUUUCUGAUCUUGGAAGCUAAGACGGGUUGAGUCUGGUGACUACGUAGAUGGGGGAAAAAUUUAGCUUUCUUCAUUCAAAAUUUUGCUUGUCACAACCC
rnacentral:rRNA from 1 species